rnacentral:rRNA from 1 species
UUGAUCAUGGCUCAGAUUGAACGCUGGCGGCAGGCCUAACACAUGCAAGUCGAGCGGCAGCACGGGUACUUGUACCUGGUGGCGAGCGGCGGACGGGUGAGUAAUGCCUAGGAAUCUGCCUGGUAGUGGGGGAUAACGCUCGGAAACGGACGCUAAUACCGCAUACGUCCUACGGGAGAAAGCAGGGGACCUUCGGGCCUUGCGCUAUCAGAUGAGCCUAGGUCGGAUUAGCUAGUUGGUGAGGUAAUGGCUCACCAAGGCGACGAUCCGUAACUGGUCUGAGAGGAUGAUCAGUCACACUGGAACUGAGACACGGUCCAGACUCCUACGGGAGGCAGCAGUGGGGAAUAUUGGACAAUGGGCGAAAGCCUGAUCCAGCCAUGCCGCGUGUGUGAAGAAGGUCUUCGGAUUGUAAAGCACUUUAAGUUGGGAGGAAGGGCAAUUACCUAAUACGUGAUUGUUUGACGUACCGACAG